rnacentral:rRNA from 2 species
UACGUAGGGGGCAAGCGUUGUCCGGAUUUAUUGGGCGUAAAGAGCGUGUAGGCGGCUUGGUAGGUCAGCUGUGAAAACUCGAGGCUCAACCUCGAGAUGUCGGUUGAAACCACCUGGCUAGAGUCCGGAAGAGGAGAAUGGAAUUCCCGGUGUAGCGGUGAAAUGCGCAGAUAUCGGGAAGAACACCCGUGGCGAAGGCGGUUCUCUGGGACGGUACUGACGCUGAGACGCGAAAGCGUGGGGAGCGAACAGG